AGCCAGCAGCCGCGGUAAUACGGAGGGGGCAAGCGUUGUUCGGAUUUACUGGGCGUAAAGCGUGUGUAGGCGGCUGGGCAAGUCUGGUGUGAAAUCUUCACCGCUCAACGGGAAGAGGUCACUGGAAACUGCUCAGCUCGAGUGUGGUAGAGGCAAGCGGAAUUCCUGGUGUAGCGGUGGAAUGUGUAGAUAUCAGGAAGAACACCGGUGGCGAAGGCGGCUUGCUGGGCCACUACUGACGCUGAGACACGAAAGCGUGGGGAGCAAACGGGAUUAGAUACCCCGGUAGUCCACGCUGUAAACGGUGCGCACUAGGUGUGAGGGGUAUCGACCCCCCUCGUGCCGACGUUAACACAUUAAGUGCGCCGCCUGGGGAGUACGGCCGCAAGGUUGAAACUCAAAGGAAUUGACGGGGGCCCGCACAAGC
rnacentral:rRNA from 1 species